AGUAGGGAGUGGGACACAGGACGGUCUUUACCGCGACUGUGGAGCUCGUGGCGAGCGCUGGGCAGGAGCAGCGGGCGGAGAUGCGGGUUUCAGAGCCGUGCUCGCCACGCUCCCAGCGUGGCCCGACACUGGCGCCGUUGGGGGAGCGAGGGUAACAAGACAGUCGAGCUCGGGGAAGCUGGUCAGCUGUGCCGCUCUGGGCUCACAGCACUGGCUAUCGUGAGGCCCGGCCAGCACUUGCAGACACGAGCACACGCACAUUCCACGGUCACGCACAAACCUGCCCCACGCCCUCCUCAGGGGGUGGGGUGGAGCCCUGCAGUGCAGGCUCUCCCAUGGUGGGGCCAGGCUGGGCCAGGCUUUCUCUCCAGCAGUGAGCGGCCCGCGCAGGGACCACGCAGCGCUGUUAGAGAACCCACAGACCCGAUGGUCUCUCAGUCCUGCUUGGUGCUGGCGAGGGGGUGUCUACAAUACCAUGCGUGCAUGGCCCGCGCGUGCAGGCUGACUCUGCUGACCGACGCCAGGUGGCCUGUUCCGGGUGGCGGCAGGGGCGACAGGUAUCUGACAGUCUGCGCCCAGCCUGGCUGUGCCAGAGUCGUCCUCCGAUACCCGCCGGACCCACGAAGGGACAGGGUUCCGGGUGCGGGGACUUGGGUUCCUCUGUGAGCUUGGUGUCCGGAAAAUAAGGCCGUUCGGGCGGGCGUGGGGGCAGCAGAGACGCAAGCACACAUGCAGGGAGCUGGGCCAGUCACUCGCUCCACUGCUUCUCUCUCCCUCCCGAAGAGCGAGCCGGCUUGAAGCCGAAACACGCGCGUACGCGUGCACAUACAUGUGCAUGCACACACACAGAGGAGCCCGGGGCCGAAGACUCCUGCAGUGGGUAGGCGAGGGACUCGCGAGCUCAGGACGACCCACUUUCCCCCAGGUUUUCCGAGACCUCAGGCCCAGAAUGGCGGGGGUGGGCCCGGGCGGGGUCAGCUUCCCAGUUGCAAAGGUUUUGGUUGUCUGAGGGGAGAGCAGCCCCUUGCGGAAUCAUUAAAGCUUCGGAGACACAGUCAUAGUUAAGAUCUGGAGACAGAGAGACCACGCUAAGGAAUUUUUUUUUUGUUCUUUUUUGAGUAAGGUACUGGAGUGGGUGGAGCUGGAGGGAAAAGAACCCAGUAAAUAGGCCGGCGCCGCGGGUCAAUAGGCUAAUCCUCCACCUGCGGCACCGAUACACCGGGUUCUAGUCCCGGUGGGGUGCAGGAUUCUGUCCCAGUUGCUCCUCUUCCAGGCCAGCUCUCUGCUGUGGCCAGGGAGUGCAGUGGAGAAUGGCCCAAGUGCUUGGGCCCUGCACCUGCAUGAGAGACCAGGAGAAGCUGGCCGCGGUGGCCAUUGGAGGGUGAACCGACGGCAAAAGGAAGACCUUUCUCUCUGUCUCUCUCUCACUGUCCACUCUGCCUGUCAAAUAAAAUAAAUAAAUAAAUAAGAACCCA
rnacentral:lncRNA from 1 species